rnacentral:rRNA from 1 species
AAAUGAAUUGACGGGGGCCCGCACAAGCGGAGGAACAUGUGGUUUAAUUCGAUGAUACGCGAGGAACCUUACCCGGGCUUGAAAUGCAGAUGCUAGGGGCAGAGACGCCUUUUUCCUUCGGGACAUCUGUGUAGGUGCUGCAUGGUUGUCGUCAGCUCGUGCCGUGAGGUGUCGGCUUAAGUGCCAUAACGAGCGCAACCCUCAUCAUUAGUUGCCAUCGGGUUAUGCCGGGGACUCUAAUGAGACUGCCAUCGUAAGAUGUGAGGAAGGUGGGGAUGACGUCAAAUCAGCACGGCCCUUACGUCCGGGGCGACACACGUGUUACAAUGGGUGGUACAACGGGUAGCUACUGGGUGACCGGAUGCCAAUCUCUUAAAACCGCUCUCAGUUCGGAUCGGAGUCUGCAACUCGACUUCGUGAAGCUGGAUUCGCUAGUAAUCGCGCAUCAGCCACGGCGCGGUGAAUACGUUCCCGGGCCUUGUACACACCGCCCGU